GAUGAAGAACGCAGCGAAAUGCGAUACUUGGUGUGAAUUGCAGAAUCCCGUGAACCAUCGAGUCUUUGAACGCAAGUUGUGCCCGAAGCCACUAGGCCGAGGGCACGCCUGCCUGGGCGUCACACGCCGUUGCCCCCCCAUCUACUCCUUCGGGAUUGCGGGGGGGCGGAUGAUGGCCUCCCGUGCGCCUAGCCGCGCGGUUGGCAUAAAUACCAAGUCCUCGGCGACGCACGCCACGACAAUCGGUGGUUGCGAAACCUCGGUUGCCCGUCGUGUGCGUUCGUCGCGCAUCGAGGGCUCGAAAAAAUGCUCGGCUCCGGCUGGGCUUUCAACGCGACCCCAGGUCAGGCGGGGUUACCCGCUGAAUUUAAGCAUAUCAAUAAGCGGAGGA
rnacentral:misc_RNA from 1 species